UACGAAGGGGGCUAGCGUUGUUCGGAAUUACUGGGCGUAAAGCGCACGUAGGCGGACUAUUAAGUCAGGGGUGAAAUCCCGGGGCUCAACCCCGGAACUGCCUUUGAUACUGGUAGUCUCGAGACCGGAAGAGGUGAGUGGAAUUCCGAGUGUAGAGGUGAAAUUCGUAGAUAUUCGGAGGAACACCAGUGGCGAAGGCGGCUCACUGGUCCGGUACUGACGCUGAGGUGCGAAAGCGUGGGGAGCAAACAGG
rnacentral:rRNA from 1 species